rnacentral:rRNA from 1 species
AACGUAGGACGCAAGCGUUAUCCGGAGUUACUGGGCGUAAAGCGCGCGUAGGCGGCUUUGCAAGUCGGGUGUGAAAUCCCCAGGCUUAACCUGGGAACUGCAUUCGAGACUGCAUUGCUAGAGUAUGGGAGAGGGAAGUGGAAUUUCCGGUGUAGCGGUGAAAUGCGUAGAUAUCGGAAGGAACAUCAGUGGCGAAAGCGACUUCCUGGACCAAUACUGACGCUCAUGUGCGAAAGCGUGGGGAGCAAACAGG